rfam:Oryza sativa Japonica Group DNA, chromosome 6, cultivar: Nipponbare, complete sequence.
AAAAAGGCAAACCCUGGGUUUUCGUGUCCAACGUUUGACUGUCCGUCUUAUAUGAAUUUUUUUUAUAAUUAGUAUUUUCAUUAUUGUUAGAUGAUAAAACAUGAUUAAUACUUUAUGCGUGACUUGUCUUUUUAAUUUUUUUCAUAAUUUUUUCAAAUAAGACGGACGGUCAAACAUUGAACACGGAAACCCAGGGUUUAUCUUUUU